rnacentral:antisense_RNA from 1 species
CUUCACCGAUCCGAGCCACAGCGGGCGGCCGGCCGGCCGGUCCCGGCCGUAGGUCGCCAUCAGGGCCUCGGCCUC